CAGGGGCCCUCGUCACGUGGUAGGGAGCAUGAAGUCUGUACAGGUGGAGGGGUUGGAUCUGCAGAGUGCUGGAUGGGAAACAAAGAUGCCGUCCACACAGAUGUCACUGCGUCCCACAUGGCACAGUGUCCCGUCCUGUACUUUGGGCCAGUGACGAUCUGAAAGGACUUGGAUGAUCCCACGCAGUUAUGACCUCCAUCUGUCCUAAAACAAGACAAGGGAAGCAAACAUUAAGUGCAAAUAUAAAGAAUGAUCAUAAUGCAAAAUACAUUAUGAAGACUAUUAUACAUAAAUAAUAGCAUUUGAGGGGUUUUCAAAGUGUGGGGCAGGUAUCCACUGGAUGUGCAGCAGAAAACCAAAACCAAAACAUACAAAAACUGAGGCAGUUUUUCCAAUAGGAAGAAUCAUUAUAGUUUUAGGUGCAGAAAACAAUAUGAAAUGAUUCUAAAUGAUGAAUGGAUGAAAAUGAUUUGACUUUAUUUGGCCCCAUGGCAGGUUAUUUAGAAGUCAAACGCAAUAGAAACAGUGUGUUAGUCCAUGCAAUAUGUACAAAAGCUUUUUUUUUUUAAUGAAAACUGGGGCGUA